CAGCCGCCGCGGUAAUACGUAGGUGGCAAGCGUUGUCCGGAAUUAUUGGGCGUAAAGGGCUCGCAGGCGGUUUCUUAAGUCUGAUGUGAAAGCCCCCGGCUCAACCGGGGAGGGUCAUUGGAAACUGGGAAACUUGAGUGCAGAAGAGGAGAGUGGAAUUCCACGUGUAGCGGUGAAAUGCGUAGGGAUGUGGAGGAACACCAGUGGCGAAGGCGACUCUCUGGUCUGUAACUGACGCUGAGGAGCGAAAGCGUGGGGAGCGAACAGGAUUAGAUACCCCGGUAGUCCCUGUCUCUUAUAC
rnacentral:rRNA from 1 species